GGAAGGGGUGUCAGAAGUAUAGGUUGGGGGACAAGUGGCUGGAGAGCAGCACUUGUGAAAGGGACCUCGGG